rnacentral:rRNA from 1 species
CGCUGGCGGCGUGCCUAAUACAUGCAAGUCGAACGGCUUUUCUAUGGAAGCUUGCUUCCACUGAGAAGAUAGUGGCGAACGGGUGAGUAACACGUGGGUAACCUGCCCAUAAGAGGGGGGAUAACAUCCGGAAACGGGUGCUAAUACCGCAUAGUUUUCUUGAUCGCAUGAUUGAGAAAGGAAAGACGGCCUUUGUGCUGUCGCUUAUGGAUGGACCCGCGGCGUAUUAGUUAGUUGGUGAGGUAAUGGCUCACCAAGACGAUGAUACGUAGCCGACCUGAGAGGGUGAUCGGCCACAUUGGGACUGAGACACGGCCCAAACUCCUACGGGAGGCAGCAGUAGGGAAUCUUCCGCAAUGGACGAAGUCUGACGGAGCAACGCCGCGUGAGUGAAGAAGGUUUUUCCGGAUCGUAAAACUCUGUUGUCAGAGAAGAACAAGUUGGAGAGUAACUGCUCCAGCCUUGACGGUAUCUGACCAGAAAGCCACGGCUAACUACGUGCCAGCAGCCGC